rnacentral:rRNA from 1 species
GACGAACGCUGGCGGCGUGCCUAAUACAUGCAAGUCGAACGAGAGCAACCGGUGCUUGCCCUGGUCAAUCUAGUGGCGAACGGGUGAGUAACACGUGGGUAACCUGCCCAUCAGAGGGGGAUAACAUCCGGAAACGGAUGCUAAAACCGCAUAGGUCUUCGAACCGCAUGGUUUGAAGAGGAAAAGAGGCGCAAGCUUCUGCUGAUGGAUGGACCCGCGGUGCAUUAGCUAGUUGGUGAGGUAACGGCUCACCAAGGCCGUGAUGCAUAGCCGACCUGAGAGGGUGAUCGGCCACAUUGGGACUGAGACACGGCCCAAACUCCUACGGGAGGCAGCAGUAGGGAAUCUUCCGCAAUGGACGCAAGUCUGACGGAGCAACGCCGCGUGAGUGAAGAAGGUUUUCGGAUCGUAAAACUCUGUUGUUAGAGAAGAACAAGUGCUAGAGUAACUGUUAGCGCCUUGACGGGAUCUAACCAGAAGCCACGGCUAACUACGUG